rnacentral:tRNA from 1 species
GGGCUCAUCGUCCAACAGGAAGACGCCGGUCUUGCAAGCCGGAGAUUCGGGUGCAAUUCCCGGUGGGUCCAC